rnacentral:tRNA from 1 species
GGAAUUGUGCCUGAAGUAAAGGGCCACUUUGAUAGAGUGAAUAAUGAGGGGUUAAAAUUCCCUCCAACUCCU